rnacentral:rRNA from 1 species
UACGUAGGGGGCAAGCGUUGUCCGGAAUCAUUGGGCGUAAAGAGCGUGUAGGCGGUCCGGUAAGUCGGCUGUGAAAGUCCAAGGCUCAACCUUGGGAUGCCGGUCGAUACUGCCGGACUAGAGUUCGGAAGAGGCGAGUGGAAUUCCCGGUGUAGCGGUGAAAUGCGCAGAUAUCGGGAGGAACACCUAUGGCGAAGGCAGCUCGCUGGGACGUUACUGACGCUGGAGACGCGAAAGCGUGGGGAGCAAACAGG